rnacentral:rRNA from 1 species
UACAGAGGUCUCAAGCGUUUGUUCGGAUUCAUUGGGCGUAAAGGGUGUGUAGGUGGCGCCGUAAGUCGGGUGUGAAAUUUCGGAGCUUAACUCCGAAACUGCAUUCGAUACUGCGGUGCUUGAGGACUGGAGAGGAGACUGGAAUUUACGGUGUAGCAGUGAAAUGCGUAGAUAUCGUAAGGAAGACCAGUGGCGAAGGCGGGUCUCUGGACAGUUCCUGACACUGAGACACGAAGGCCAGGGGAGCAAACGGG